AUCAUUGUGAAAUCACUUAUCAGCAUGCGAAAAAAAAAAAUAUAAGUACACAGAUUGUACCUACUCCCUUUCUUUUACAUACUAUUUUCUAAUAUACGUACGGAAUUACGGAUUAGUGGAAAUGCAGUCGUUGUCAUGGAGUUUUCGUUCACCGACAAAUAUUUUACCAAAUAAAGGAGUUUAUAGUGUCGUUUGAAUAAUCAUUCGAUUUAUUAGAAAAGAAAGCCACGUUGGAUAGGAUCCUCACAACACUGAGCCCUCUACAAUAUUCAGUCUUGAAAUUGACAGUGACUUGUCCAUCAAAUGUGAAUGCGUUCGCGUCGCCGGUAUCGAAAUAUGGUGUAAUCACAAUUUCAUAAGAUUCUGGUCUUAUUGGUGUGUUCAAUCUAUAAUUUG